rnacentral:lncRNA from 1 species
AUUGUGUCUCAACCUCAAAAAUCCUAUGACUCUUCACUAGGACCACUUUGGUCAAAAUUUUGCUGAAUUGAAACACAAUGAUACAUCAUCUCUAAUUUUACUUGGAGCGAUCAAUCUCAUCUUGACUCGCACUCAGACUUCACAAAUACUUGACUGUACCUAAAAAACUUUCAUCAUCAAAUUAAAAAUUCAGAUAGUCUGGCACCAAAGCAUAGUGAGUUGCUUACAAGUCAUCGAGACAGUCUCAGGUCUGAGGAACUCAUAUACCCAUAUCC